ACACCAGGGGAGAGAGGUCAAUACAUGCACAGGGACACCAGGGAGAGAGGUCAAUACAUACACAGGGACACCAGGGAGAGAGGUCAAUACAUGCACAGGGACACCAGGGGAGAGAGGUCAAUACAUGCACAGGGACACCAGGGGAGAAAGGUCAAUACAUACACAGGUAUAAAGGUCAGUACAUACACAUCUCUCUCUCUCACAUAUACACAGGUAUGGAUGAACAAAUCACACACUCGGAAUUAACAUUUGUUGUGAGUUCGAAUCCCCAGUCUACCCUCUGCCGUUGUGCCUUUGAGCAAGGACGGCUCCAUGGGCGCUGCUCUGCGGCUUUGACGGUGUUGCCUCUAGUCUCUUGUAUGUG